GAAUUUGCCUUGCCUGGGACAAUUGCUCUGUGGUGAUAGUAGUUCUCUGCUACUUACCCAGGAGCAGAACAAUUUGAAGAGAGAAUCACUUCCCCACAAAUACUUCAGGCCAACCAAAAAUCCUUCAGGGAAAUGCCAUCCAGAAAUUCUUAUGCUAAUUUGCAACAAAUCCUGGACCCUCUUUCAAGUUAACCCUGAUCCUGUUGGCAAGUGAUACCAACAGAAGGUCUGUCCCACAGACCAGAGAAGAACCGAGUGCAGCUGGGAAGGAUGGGGGCUGCUGGCAGGAGUAGCUGGAAAUGUCAAGCACUCGACUCUCUGCUUUGUGGCAAUUGAAGAGAAGAUUGGAAGGAGGGUUGGUUGAAAAUAUCUGAGAACACAGCCACGGCAGGGGAAAUUAACUUAGUGUCCUCCGCUCAGCUUACCGCCAAUACCUGUGCCUGUUGAUUGACGGAGAUGUAGGAAGCCAUCAAAUGCGUUUCCUCCCCGGGGGGAAUGGAAACCACGUGCCUUCAAUUAGUGCCUCUCCUCCUGGCUGGACCUCUCCAGUAUGACAAAGGCAUCAGGUUACAGAGGGACGUGGGGAAUUGUCCUAGCAGCACCACAGAUGUCACACGCAUCCCAAGCUCUCAGAGACAGCUGAGCUCAAUGAUCAGAAGCACGGCGAUGCGUCCGUGUCAUCUUUAUGGGGCUCCCC
ensembl:lncRNA